GUCCAGACUCCUACGGGAGGCAGCAGUGGGGAAUAUUGGGCAAUGGGCGCAAGCCUGACCCAGCAACGCCGCGUGAAGGAAGAAGGCUUUCGGGUUGUAAACUUCUUUUGUCAGGGAAGAAGCAAGACGGUACCUGACUAAGAAGCCCCGGCUAACUACGUGCCAGCAGCCGCGGUAAUACGUAGGGGGCGAGCGUUAUCCGGAUUCACUGGGUGUAAAGGGAGCGUAGACGGCCAUGCAAGCCAGGGGUGAAAGCCCGGGGCCCAACCGCGGGACUGCAUUUGAAACUGUCCUACUGGAGUGCAGGAGAGGUAAGUGGAAUUCCUAGUGUAGCGGUGAAAUGCGUAGAUAUUAGGAGGAACACCAGUGGCGAAGGCGGCUUACUGGACUGUAACUGACGUUGAGGCUCGAAAGCGUGGGGAGCAAACAGGAUUAGAUACCCCGGUAA
rnacentral:rRNA from 1 species